GAUGAACGCUGGCGGCGUGCCUAAUACAUGCCAGUCGAGCGAACGGACGAGAAGCUUGCUUCUCUGAUGUUAGCGGCGGACGGGUGAGUAACACGUGGAUAACCUACCUAUAAGACUGGGAUAACUUCGGGAAACCGGAGCUAAUACCGGAUAAUAUUUUGAACCGCAUGGUUCAAAAGUGAAAGACGGUCUUGCUGUCACUUAUAGAUGGAUCCGCGCUGCAUUAGCUAGUUGGUAAGGUAACGGCUUACAAAGGCAACGAUGCAUAGCCGACCUGAGAGGGUGAUCGGCCACACUGGAACUGAGACACGGUCCAGACUCCUACGGGAGGCAGCAGUAGGGAAUCUUCCGCAAUGGGCGAAAGCCUGACGGAGCAACGCCGCGUGAGUGAUGAAGGUCUUCGGAUCGUAAAACUCUGUUAUUAGGGAAGAACAUAUGUGUAAGUAACUGUGCACAUCUUGACGGUACCUAAUCAGAAAGCCACGGCUAACUACGUG
rnacentral:rRNA from 1 species